rnacentral:lncRNA from 1 species
GAGCUAACCUCUAUUAAAAAACCCCAAAAGACAAUAAGACAAGUAAGUACUCUCGCCUACUCUAGAUUUCUUCAUUCUUUUUCUUACAAAAUCACAUCAAAUUUUCUGUUCUUUGCGAUUUCAGGUGAUUGAGAAUUUUCUGCUCGAUGUUACAGAUUGUGUUUAGUGUUUUAGAAGAUUUGCAAGCCAUUAUCCCAUGAAACAAAUUUAAUGCUAGUAUUUUAUGGUAUCAAGUCGCUAAUUGACUCCACCCGAUCAUCUUGUUGUCUCUUCCGGGCCGAAGAUAAUUAAUAAUUAGCAACAAUGAUGCGAGACUCGAUCAGGUGCAUUUAAUCUAACUCUCUUAAAUUUCAAAUCUUGGUGUCUACUAUAGCAAGGAUAGAGAAAUUCCUCCCCCCCCCCCCCCCCCGGCGCCGCCGCCACCGUCAUAUUGGAUUAAAGCAAACUUUGAUAGUCCGUCUAAAGGGAUUACCGGGCAAGUUGCUAGUCUGUCUUGGUGUUUAUUUUGCGGAGAUUAUGGCUUUUAUUCGUGUAAUUGAGUGGGCCUAUGAGAGAGAGUGGCGUCACCUAUGGUUAGAAAGUAACUCUACGCUAGUUAUGCAUCUUCUUUGAAAACCUACAAUUAACCCACCUCGGCAGCUUUCAUAAUAGAUGGAUUGAUUGUCGCUCCAUGAGCACAUCUACGCAUUUCAGGUUCCCACACCCCUUUAGAGAGUGCAACGGUGUGGCAGAUACUUUCGCUAACCUGGGUCCUUUGCUCCGCAUACAUACACAAAUGUUUGUAAUAAAAAAAAGGUAAAAAAAAUAAAAAUAAAUGAUAAAAAAGGGUUAAUGCGAGGAAACCCAAAACUUCAAAAAGUAGUGAUUAUUAAAGAAACCAAAAAACCUCCCACUUACACUGCCAUGCCGAUUUAAUUAAGUCCUUUUAUGCCAUCUUAUGGCCCCUGGAUGCCUUUGUUUUCUAUGGUUGUCAUUGCACAUGGCAUUGCUGUUUUUAUUCUUCUUAUUAUAAUAUAAUCGCCUCAUAAUGAGUUUUAUUUCUGAAAAAUGGGUACUUACUCGUUAUUUUGAAGGGAAGGAUAUGAAAAGCCAUUACAGAAAAAUGGCCUUGUCGUAAAAUCUCGGGAGAAGGCAUCUUUUUCCAGUAGAUAGAGCUUAUUUAUGGCUCUUGCCUCCUUGAGUACAACACUUUACCAGAAUAAUGCUUACUGAUGAAGGGAUGUCAAGGCUUCCUCACCAUUAAUUUUACAUCUUUAUGAUCCUUUAAUAUUUGAGGCUGUUAUACUUUUUGUUGAUCAUGAUUUUGAAUUUUCGAUUUGCAUAAAAAAUGGUCAUGACCUCUGAGAGGAUGCGAACAGUAAGAUUUAUAGCAGGUUAACAAAUGGCUCAACAUGAUAUUCUCUGACCAUUUUCCAGAACUGAUUUAGACUGCUCAUCCAAAUUCUAAAUACUUGAAAUAAAUUUGUUUUUAAUAAUAUAGUACAAAAUUGUGGAGUAGGAGGAGAGAGAAGGCACGUUAAUGGCGAUAUUGUUGAGAAGAUAGAGGGGACAAAUGAUAAUAUGCAAAUGGAGUUGAUGCAUCUCACUCCUUUGUGCUCUCUAUGUCAUCAGGCCACUUUAGCCCCUCGCACUUUCUUGCUCCACCUUCUUACCUUAUUAUUUUAAUUAAUUUAUCUCAAGAAUAAUUAUAAACGUUCAUUUCUCAUAUCUAUAUGUUUAAUUUGUUAUAUUUUAGACUUCUUUUUUUUUGGGCAUAUAUAUUGUUUAUAUUUACUGAGGAUAUAUAUCAAAAGUUGAUUUAUUGAUCCUUGAUGAGUUUCAGAGACUAUUCUAUCCGUAUACUUAGUUCAAGUGUAAUUCACUUCUUAAUUUACAUAUUUUUUUCCUCCCUUUUAUUGAUGGUAAAUCAUAUUCAUUUUGUUUAGUUUAAAUAUGUUUUGCAGUCAAAUUUCAGCAAAUACCGGAGAGAGCCAUUUCGAAUCAAGGUGUUUGAACAUGUGUUGAUUUGAUUUCCCCAAUGUUGAAAAUUGUAACUGCAAAUUGUUUUGCUUCGCUGUAUAUUACUUGGAAAAUUUCACAAGAGUUUCGAAGUCUCAUGUUUAUAAAUACAUAUUAAGCCAAUUAUCCACCGAUCAUUUUUUGAGCUUUUGUAAAAAAUGCACAAAUACAUUUUUUUUUCUUGCAUAAUUUUGGUUUGAGUUAACAAUUUUUUUACCCGUCUACUUUCCCCUUUAACUCCGUUACAAUCUUGUUGAUAUCACAGUGCUAAAAUUAUCAUUUUACUUGGAAAGCAAAGAUGGCAUGGUACACGUGAUUGAAAAAGAAAAAGCAAACAAUAAUAACUCAUUUAUCUGGAC